ACCAUCACAGCGGCCAUCUUGAAUCCAACCACGUGACUCGGUGGCCAUCUUGGAUCCCCCUACCACCACAGCGGCCAUCUUGAAUCGACCCACGUGACUCGGCAGCCAUCUUGGACCCCCCCUACCACCACAGCAGCCAUCUUGGAUCCACCCACGUGACUCGGCAGCCAUCUUGGAUCCCUCCCACCACCACAGCGGCCAUCUUGACUCGACCCACGUGACUCGGCAGCCAUCUUGGAUCCCCCUACCACCACGGCGGCCAUCUUGGAUCAACCCACGUGACUUGGCGGCCAUCUUGAAUCCCCCCAACCACCACAGCGGCCAUCUUGGCUCGACCCACGUGACUCGGCAGCCAUCUUGGAUCCCUCCCACCACCACAGCGGCCAUCUUGACUCGACCCACGUGACUCGGCAGCCAUCUUGAAUUCCCCCAACCACCACAGCGGCCAUCUUGGAUCCCUCCCACCACCACAGCGGCCAUCUUGACUCGACCCACGUGACUCGGCAGCCAUCUUGGCUCGACCCACGUGACUCGGCAGCCAUCUUGGAUCCCCCCCACCACCACAGCGGCCAUCUUGGCUCGACCCACGUGACUCGGCGGCCAUCUUGGAUCCCUCCCACCACCACAGCGGCCAUCUUGGCUCAACCCACGUGACUCGGCAGCCAUCUUUGAUCCCCCCAACCACCGUUGCGGCCAUCUUGGCUCGACCCACGUGACUCGGCGGCAAUCUUGGAUCCCUCCAACCACCACGGCGGCCAUCUUGGAUCGACCCACGUGACUCGGCAGCCAUCUUGAAUUCCCCCAACCACCACGGCGGCCAUCUUGGCUCGACCCAUGUGACUCGGAGGCCAUCUUGGAUCCCCCCCUCCACCCCACUCGCCAUCUUGGACCCCUGGCGGCCAUGUUGGCUCGACCCACGUGACCCGGCGGCCAUCUUGUCCCUUUCCCCCCUUACAUCCCCGCAUGCCCCCCCCUCCCCGCAUGCCUUUAAGCCCCGCCCCCUGUACAUAAGCCCCGCCCCCUCCCCCUCCACGGAUGUAUGUAUAGAAACGGCUCGGAGGGGAAGCUCCGCCCCCCUGACCGGAAGUGGGCGGGGCCACAGCGCCUGUAAAUAACUCCUCCCCUCCCCCCCCUCCCCCCCCCCAAAGAAAACAAAAUGGCCGAC
rnacentral:lncRNA from 1 species